GAUGAACGCUAGCGGCAGGCCUAACACAUGCAAGUCGAGGGGUAUAGUUCUUCGGAACUAGAGACCGGCGCACGGGUGCGUAACGCGUAUGCAAUCUACCUUUUACAGGGGAAUAGCCCAGAGAAAUUUGGAUUAAUGCCCCAUAGUGUUAUAGAAUCGCAUGGUUUUAUAACUAAAGUUCCAACGGUAAAAGAUGAGCAUGCGUCCCAUUAGUUAGUUGGUAAGGUAACGGCUUACCAAGACAAUGAUGGGUAGGGGUCCUGAGAGGGAGAUCCCCCACACUGGUACUGAGACACGGACCAGACUCCUACGGGAGGCAGCAGUGAGGAAUAUUGGACAAUGGGCGCAAGCCUGAUCCAGCCAUGCCGCGUGCAGGAAGACGGUCCUAUGGAUUGUAAACUGCUUUUGUACAGGAAGAAACACUCCCUCGUGAGGGAGCUUGACGGUACUGUAAGAAUAAGGAUCGGCUAACUCCGUGCCAGCAGCCGCGGU
rnacentral:rRNA from 1 species